rfam:Pectobacterium carotovorum subsp. carotovorum PC1, complete genome.
AGUUGUUGUCAUGCCAUAUCUUACUGUGAUAACUCUGUAGGCAUUCGUUCGACAGAAGAUUAAUGAACAACCUAUUAUGAAAGCCCUAUCCCUAGUGAUUAGCCUAGUCGUGAUUAGCGUGGUGGUGAUUAUUAUCCCACCGUGCGGGGCUGCACUUGGACGAAGAAUGGCUUAGAAAUCAAGGCCUAAUUCAAGAAAACCCCCGCACCGAAAGGUCGGGGGUUUUUUGUUGGGCGUAAUCUAUAACGGAAAGGAACAGAAAAUGAACAUCAGCAUAAAAUUCUGUUAUUCCCAUAAGAU